UAGGGAAUCUUCCGCAAUGGACGAAAGUCUGACGGAGCAACGCCGCGUGAGUGAAGAAGGAUUUCGGUUCGUAAAACUCUGUUGUUAGGGAAGAAAAAAUGUAUAGUAACUAUAUACAAAAGAGACGGUACCUAACCAGAAAGCCACGGCUAACUACGUGCCAGCAGCCGCGGUAAUACGUAGGUGGCAAGCGUUGUCCGGAAUUAUUGGGCGUAAAGCGCGCGCAGGUGGUUUAGAAAGUCUGAUGUGAAAGCCCACGGCUCAACCGUGGAGGGUCAUUGGAAACUAAUAAACUUGAGUGCAGGAGAGAAAAGUGGAAUUCCAUGUGUAGCGGUGAAAUGCGUAGAUAUAUGGAGGAACACCGGUGGCGAAAGCGGCUCUCUGGUCUGUAACUGACGCUGAGGCUCGAAAGCGUGGGGAGCGAACAGG
rnacentral:rRNA from 1 species